CUACGGGGGGCUCCAGUGGGGGAUAUUGCACAAUGGGCGAAAGCCUGAUGCAGCAACGCCGCGUGAAGGAAGACGGUUUUCGGAUUGUAAACUUCUAUCAGCAGGGAAGAAAAUGACUGUACCUGACUAAGAAGCCCCGGCUAACUACGUGCCAGCAGCCGCGGUAAUACGUAGGGGGCAAGCGUUAUCCGGAAUUACUGGGUGUAAAGGGUACGUAGGCGGCUGAUCAAGUCAGAUGUGAAAGCCCGGAGCUCAACUCCGGGACUGCAUUUGAAACUGGUCGGCUAGAGUGCAGGAGAGGAAAGUGGAAUUCCUAGUGUAGCGGUGAAAUGCGUAGAUAUUAGGAAGAACACCAGUGGCGAAGGCGGCUUUCUGGACUGUAACUGACGCUGAGGUACGAAAGCGUGGGGAGCGAACAGGAUUAGAUACCCGUGUAGUC
rnacentral:rRNA from 1 species